rnacentral:rRNA from 1 species
GAUGAACGCUGGCGGCGUGCCUAAUACAUGCAAGUCGAGCGAACAGACGAGGAGCUUGCUCCUCUGAUGUUAGCGGCGGACGGGUGAGUAACACGUGGAUAACCUACCUAUAAGACUGGGAUAACUUCGGGAAACCGGAGCUAAUACCGGAUAACAUGUUGAACCGCAUGGUUCAACAGUGAAAGACGGUCUUGCUGUCACUUAUAGAUGGAUCCGCGCCGCAUUAGCUAGUUGGUAAGGUAACGGCUUACCAAGGCAACGAUGCGUAGCCGACCUGAGAGGGUGAUCGGCCACACUGGAACUGAGACACGGUCCAGACUCCUACGGGAGGCAGCAGUAGGGAAUCUUCCGCAAUGGGCGAAAGCCUGACGGAGCAACGCCGCGUGAGUGAAGAAGGUCUUCGGAUCGUAAAACUCUGUUAUUAGGGAAGAACAAAUGUGUAAGUAACUAUGUACGUCUUGACGGUACCUAAUCAGAAAGCCACGGCUAACUACGUG